rnacentral:rRNA from 1 species
AGAGUUUGAUCAUGGCUCAGAGCGAACGCUGGCGGCGUGGCUUAGGCAUGCAAGUCGAGCGAGAAACCGGGGGCAACUCCGGGAGUAAAGCGGCGAAAGGGUGAGGAUAUUAUCGACAAUCUACCCUGGGGACCGGGACAACGGCUGGAAACGGCCGCUAAUACCGGACGGUCCCACGACGGGGCAUCCCGUUGUGGGUAAAGGUGGGGACCUUCGGGCCUUCCACCCCGGGAGGAGUCGAUGACCUAUCAGCUAGUUGGCGGGGUAAUGGCCCACCAAGGCGACGACGGGUAGCCGGACUGAGAGGUUGGCCGGUCACACUGGGACUGAGACACUGCCCAGACUCCUACGGGAGGCUGCAGUCGCGAAUCUUCCGCAAUGGGCGAAAGCCUGACGGAGCGACGCCGCGUGUGGGAUGAAGGCCUUCGGGUUGUAAACCACUGUCACGCGUUAUGAACACCGGGGAGACAACAUCAAUCCGGAUGACAAAGGCGCGAGAGGAAGCCACGGCUAACUCUGUGCCAGCAGCCGCGGUAAGACAGAGGUGGCAAGCGUUGCUCGGAGUUACUGGGCUUAAAGGGCGCGUAGGCGGUCGUGCACGUCGGUGGUGAAAUCCCCGGGCUCAACCCGGGAACUGCCUUCGAUACGGCGCGACUCGAGUGUGGGAGGGGAGAGUGGAACUCCUGGUGGAGCGGUGAAAUGCGUAGAUAUCAGGAGGAACGCCGGUGGCGAAAGCGACUCUCUGGACCACAACUGAGCUGAGGCGCGAAAGCCAGGGGAGCAAACGGGAUUAGAUACCCUAGUAGUCC